UAUGGCCAUAUCAUAUUGAAACAUUGGUUCCCAUACAAUCACCAAAGUUAAGCAACAUCAAGUCUGAUCAGUAACUAGAUAGGUGACCACUUGGGAGUAGCAGGUGCUGCAA